CUGUACGAUCACCAAAGUUAAGCAACAUUGAGUCUGGUCAGUACCUAGAUGGGUGACCACUUGGGAAUACCAAGUGUUGUAAG